CGAAAGUCAGGCAGGUUCGGCGGCACCUUCGGCGGCCGAAACUCCCAGACAGAGACGAAACUCAUGCAUGUUCGGCGGCACCUUCGGCGGCCGAAAGUCCCAGACAGAGACGAAAGUCUCCUUUCGGGGGCAACUUCGGCAGCCGAAAGGCCUGCCUCCCCAGCCAUGUUCGGCGGCCGAAAGUCCCUUCGGCUGCCGAACCUGGUUUCUGCCAAAGGGCAGAAACUUG
rnacentral:lncRNA from 1 species